rnacentral:rRNA from 1 species
UAUUAAAGUUGUUGCGGUUAAAAAGCUCGUAGUCGAAUUUGUGUUCCGCGCCGCCGGUUCAUCGUACGCGGUGUUAACUGGCGUGUCGCGGAACGUCCUGCCGGUGGGCCUAAGUCCGCAAGGACGUCGGCCCGACCCAAUCCCGCCGCGGUGCUCUUCACUGAGUGUCGAGGUGGGCCGGCACGUUUACUUUGAACAAAUUAGAGUGCUUAAAGCAGGCUAAAACUUCGCCUGAAUACUGUGUGCAUGGAAUAAUGGAAUAGGACCUCGGUUCUAUUUUGUUGGUUUUCGGAACCCCGAGGUAAUGAUUAAUAGGAACGGAUGGGGGCAUUCGUAUUGCGACGUUAGAGGUGAAAUUCUUGGAUCGUCGCAAGACGGACAGAAGCGAAAGCAUU